GUGGGGAAUUUUGGACAAUGGGGGCAACCCUGAUCCAGCCAUGCCGCGUGAGUGAAGAAGGCCUUCGGGUUGUAAAGCUCUUUCGGCCGGGAAAAAAUCGCAUCAGUUAAUACCUGGUGUGGAUGAUGGUACCGGAAUAAGAAGCACCGGCUAACUACGUGCCAGCAGCCGCGGUAAUACGUAGGGUGCGAGCGUUAAUCGGAAUUACUGGGCGUAAAGCGUGCGCAGGCGGUUUGAUAAGACAGGCGUGAAAUCCCCGGGCUCAACCUGGGAACUGCGUUUGUGACUGUCUCACUAGAGUACGGCAGAGGGGGGUGGAAUUCCACGUGUAGCAGUGAAAUGCGUAGAGAUGUGGAGGAACACCAAUGGCGAAGGCAGCCCCCUGGGUCGAUACUGACGCUCAUGCACGAAAGCGUGGGUAGCAAACAGGAUUAGAUACCCCUGUAGUCC
rnacentral:rRNA from 1 species